CAGAAAAUAGCACGCCGGGGUACUUCUGCCAGCUCCAUAUGGCCCGGCUUGUUUUCACAGCAAGAAGCGGAAGCUGAAGAAUUUUCCACGUUUCAGCCUGAGCAGAAAAUUACAGAGAAGAGGCGGUGGAAGACAGAAAAACAAGAGAUGAGCAAGAAAGGCAUGAUCCAAGAUUGUCCAAAUUAAUUUAAAGCCCUGUACUUGUAUAGACUAAUUUCCAUGGAGACUCCACCAUUUGGCUUUGCCUUUCUCUGCCUCUAAGAGACUUGGAUCUAGGAAGACCAUAGCAUCAGAGUGAUGCGAGCAAAGGCCCUGCGUCCCGCCAGGAGGCCGCAACAUAAAUGAAAGAAGGGGAGCGAGAGAGAUGGAUGCGAUGUAACUCACUGUAUCUUUAUUGGGACGAGGGUCGCACCGCUAUCGAGGCACGCCAGUCCGCUGAUGUCGCCACGGAGAAGGAGACAUCGCCUCACAAUCUAGACAGAGAGGUCACCGCAGACGUUGAGACUGGGAACCAGCGAGUGGUCGGCCGCGAGACUGUCGGGGCGUCGGCAGCACCGGCGAUGAUGUUCUCCCGACAGGGAACUCGCUUCGCUCAGUCCAACCCGAUGCCUCUUUUUAUGUGCUGUGCUAAGUCUCCUUCAUGAACAUAUCACAUCACUUGUUCAUAUGCUUCCACUCCACAACACACACACACGUAAACAUGUUUUUGCAACAUUUUUGCAAUAUCAUUUCACUGGUCAAAAUAUUUACAGCUCAUUGCUCUACGUUGAUC